AUGUUCUUCAUCACGCGACCCUUGAAUAUUCAAAGUCGAGAGCCUAAAAGCGUCGAGGAGGACAAUACAUCUCUGUAUUUUAAAAGGUUUUGGCGAUAUAUUAUUAGCCUAUCUGUCUCUACGCUGAAAAAUCCAUUUCGGUUUUUCCGCGAAGCUCCAAAAAUCUAUGAAAUGUGUUUGCAUGUUCUUCUCCGCGAGCGGGGAUGUAGAGGUGGGAUUGCGAGAAUCGAAAGGUUGGAGAGCCCACACGCUCAGUUUCCGAGAAAGCUUGGAGACGGACCGCUUGGACAGUGGGAGCCCUCCCCUCCUCUUCGUUCUGGUUUGAAGGUGAUGCUUCCUACAGGAGCAGCAUUUCGGUGGUUCCAGUAA
rnacentral:lncRNA from 1 species